rnacentral:rRNA from 1 species
GGUUAAGCGACUAAGCGUACACGGUGGAUGCCCUGGCAGUCAGAGGCGAUGAAGGGCGUGCUAAUCUGCGAUAAGCGCCGGUAAGGUGAUAUGAACCGUUAUAACCGGCGAUACCCGAAUGGGGAAACCCAGUGUGACUCGUCACACUAUCAUUAACUGAAUCCAUAGGUUAAUGAGGCGAACCGGGGGAACUGAAACAUCUAAGUACCCCGAGGAAAAGAAAUCAACCGAGAUUCCCCCAGUAGCGGCGAGCGAACGGGGAGGAGCCCAGAGCCUGAAUCAGCAUGUGUGUUAGUGGAAGCGUCUGGAAAGGCGCGCGAUACAGGGUGACAGCCCCGUACACAAAAGCGCAUGUGCUGUGAGCUCGAUGAGUAGGGCGGGACACGUGGUAUCCUGUCUGAAUAUGGGGGGACCAUCCUCCAAGGCUAAAUACUCCUGACUGACCGAUAGUGAACCAGUACCGUGAGGGAAAGGCGAAAAGAACCCCGGCGAGGGGAGUGAAAAAGAACCUGAAACCGUGUACGUACAAGCAGUGGGAGCCCCACCACUAAGCCAGUGGUGAACUCCACAUACGCAUCCUUUGCUGAAGGCAAUGGUUAACGGAGCGAAAGCGACGUUCAACCGCAAAACAAGCAGAGGGGGCUUAGUGGUGGGGUGACUGCGUACCUUUUGUAUAAUGGGUCAGCGACUUAUAUUCUGUAGCAAGGUUAACCGUAUAGGGGAGCCGGAGGGAAACCGAGUCUUAACCGGGCGUUAAGUUGCAGGGUAUAGACCCGAAACCCGGUGAUCUAGCCAUGGGCAGGUUGAAGGUUGGGUAACACUAACUGGAGGACCGAACCGACUAAUGUUGAAAAAUUAGCGGAUGACCUGUGGCUGGGGGUGAAAGGCCAAUCAAACCGGGAGAUAGCUGGUUCUCCCCGAAAGCUAUUUAGGUAGCGCCUCGUGAAUUCAUCUCCGGGGGUAGAGCACUGUUUCGGCUAGGGGGCCAUCCCGGCUUACCAACCCGAUGCAAACUGCGAAUACCGGAGAAUGUUAUCACGGGAGACACACGGCGGGUGCUAACGUCCGUCGUGAAGAGGGAAACAACCCAGACCGCCAGCUAAGGUCCCAAAGUCAUGGUUAAGUGGGAAACGAUGUGGGAAGGCCCAGACAGCCAGGAUGUUGGCUUAGAAGCAGCCAUCAUUUAAAGAAAGCGUAAUAGCUCACUGGUCGAGUCGGCCUGCGCGGAAGAUGUAACGGGGCUAAACCAUGCACCGAAGCUGCGGCAGCGACACUGUGUGUUGUUGGGUAGGGGAGCGUUCUGUAAGCCUGUGAAGGUGGCCUGUGAGGGUUGCUGGAGGUAUCAGAAGUGCGAAUGCUGACAUAAGUAACGAUAAAGCGGGUGAAAAGCCCGCUCGCCGGAAGACCAAGGGUUCCUGUCCAACGUUAAUCGGGGCAGGGUGAGUCGACCCCUAAGGCGAGGCCGAAAGGCGUAGUCGAUGGGAAACGGGUUAAUAUUCCCGUACUUGGUGUUACUGCGAAGGGGGGACGGAGAAGGCUAUGUUGGCCGGGCGACGGUUGUCCCGGUUUAAGCGUGUAGGUGUGUGUUCCAGGUAAAUCCGGUUCACUUUAACACUGAGGCGUGAUGACGAGGCACUACGGUGCUGAAGCAACAAAUGCCCUGCUUCCAGGAAAAGCCUCUAAGCAUCAGGUAACAUCAAAUCGUACCCCAAACCGACACAGGUGGUCAGGUAGAGAAUACCAAGGCGCUUGAGAGAACUCGGGUGAAGGAACUAGGCAAAAUGGUGCCGUAACUUCGGGAGAAGGCACGCUGACACGUAGGUGAAGUGAUUUACUCAUGGAGCUGAAGUCAGUCGAAGAUACCAGCUGGCUGCAACUGUUUAUUAAAAACACAGCACUGUGCAAACACGAAAGUGGACGUAUACGGUGUGACGCCUGCCCGGUGCCGGAAGGUUAAUUGAUGGGGUCAGCGCAAGCGAAGCUCCUGAUCGAAGCCCCGGUAAACGGCGGCCGUAACUAUAACGGUCCUAAGGUAGCGAAAUUCCUUGUCGGGUAAGUUCCGACCUGCACGAAUGGCGUAAUGAUGGCCAGGCUGUCUCCACCCGAGACUCAGUGAAAUUGAACUCGCUGUGAAGAUGCAGUGUACCCGCGGCAAGACGGAAAGACCCCGUGAACCUUUACUAUAGCUUGACACUGAACAUUGAGCCUUGAUGUGUAGGAUAGGUGGGAGGCUUUGAAGUGUGGACGCCAGUCUGCAUGGAGCCGACCUUGAAAUACCACCCUUUAAUGUUUGAUGUUCUAACGUGGACCCGUAAUCCGGGUUGCGGACAGUGUCUGGUGGGUAGUUUGACUGGGGCGGUCUCCUCCUAAAGAGUAACGGAGGAGCACGAAGGUUGGCUAAUCCUGGUCGGACAUCAGGAGGUUAGUGCAAUGGCAUAAGCCAGCUUGACUGCGAGCGUGACGGCGCGAGCAGGUGCGAAAGCAGGUCAUAGUGAUCCGGUGGUUCUGAAUGGAAGGGCCAUCGCUCAACGGAUAAAAGGUACUCCGGGGAUAACAGGCUGAUACCGCCCAAGAGUUCAUAUCGACGGCGGUGUUUGGCACCUCGAUGUCGGCUCAUCACAUCCUGGGGCUGAAGUAGGUCCCAAGGGUAUGGCUGUUCGCCAUUUAAAGUGGUACGCGAGCUGGGUUUAGAACGUCGUGAGACAGUUCGGUCCCUAUCUGCCGUGGGCGCUGGAGAACUGAGGGGGGCUGCUCCUAGUACGAGAGGACCGGAGUGGACGCAUCACUGGUGUUCGGGUUGUCAUGCCAAUGGCACUGCCCGGUAGCUAAAUGCGGAAGAGAUAAGUGCUGAAAGCAUCUAAGCACGAAACUUGCCCCGAGAUGAGUUCUCCCUGAGACUUAGAGUCUCCUGAAGGAACGUUGAAGACGACGACGUUGAUAGGCCGGGUGUGUAAGCGCAGCGAUGCGUUGAGCUAACCGGUACUAAUGAACCGUGAGGCUUAACCUU